AGCGAACGCUGGCGGCAGGCCUAACACAUGCAAGUCGAACGAACCUUUCGGGGUUAGUGGCGGACGGGUGAGUAACACGUGGGAACGUGCCUUUAGGUUCGGAAUAACUCAGGGAAACUUGUGCUAAUACCGAAUGUGCCCUUCGGGGGAAGAAUAAGUCCCGUUUGAAGCGCCCGGGGCUGAUUAGCCAGUUUGGUUGGGUAAUGGCUCACCAAGGCGACGAUCAGUAGCUGGUCUGAGAGGAUGAUCAGCCACAUUGGGACUGAGACACGGCCCAAACUCCUACGGGAGGCAGCAGUGGGGAAUCUUGCGCAAUGGGCGAAAGCCUGACGCAGCCAUGCCGCGUGAAUGAUGAAGGUCUUAGGAUUGUAAAAUUCUUUCACCGGGGACGAUAAUGACGGUACCCGGAGAAGAAGCCCCGGCUAACUUCGUG
rnacentral:rRNA from 1 species